rnacentral:ncRNA from 1 species
GUCUUCAGGGCAGGGUGUGAUUCCCUACCGGCGGUAAAGUCCGCAAGCCGAAAGGCAUGAUCCGGUGCAACUCCGGAACCGACAGUACAGUCUGGAUGAGAGAAGAUG